UGGACUAUCAUAAAGUUUGCUGAGGAAGA
rnacentral:piRNA from 1 species